rnacentral:rRNA from 1 species
UACGUAGGGUGCGAGCGUUAAUCGGAAUUACUGGGCGUAAAGCGUGUGCAGGCGGUUUGCUAAGACAGGUGUGAAAUCCCCGGGCUUAACCUGGGAACUGCGCUUGUGACUGGCAGGCUAGAGUACGGUAGAGGGGGGUGGAAUUCCUGGUGUAGCAGUGAAAUGCGUAGAUAUCAGGAGGAACACCGAUGGCGAAGGCAGCCCCCUGGGCCUGUACUGACGCUCAUGCACGAAAGCGUGGGGAGGCAAACAGGAUUAGAUA